rnacentral:rRNA from 1 species
GUCUAUGGCCAUGCUACCCUUCCCGAUCUUGUCUGAUCUCGGAAGCUAAGUAGGGUCGGGCCUAGUUAGUACUUGGAUGGGAGACCACCUAGAAAGACAGGUGCUGUAAGCG